CCUACGGGAGGCAGCAGUGAGGAAUAUUGGUCAAUGGGAGAGAUCCUGAACCAGCCAAGCCGCGUGAGGGAAGACGGCCCUAUGGGUUGUAAACCUCUUUUGUCGGAGAACAAAACCCGGGACGUGUCCCGGACUGCGUGUAUCCGAAGAAAAAGCAUCGGCUAACGCCGUGCCAGCAGCCGCGGUAAUACGGAGGAUGCGAGCGUUAUCCGGAUUUAUUGGGUUUAAAGGGUGCGUAGGCGGUCCGUUAAGUCAGCGGUAAAAUUGCGGGGCUCAACCCCGUCGAGGCGUUGAAACUGGCAGACUUGAGUUGGCGAGAAGUACGCGGAAUGCGCGGUGUAGCGGUGAAAUGCAGAGAUAGCGCGCAGAACUCCGAGUGCGAAGGCAGCAUACCGGCGCCCAACUGACGCUGAAGCACGAAAGCGUGGGUAUCGAACAGGAUUAGAUACCCUAGUAGUC
rnacentral:rRNA from 1 species